rnacentral:rRNA from 1 species
AGAGGGCUGUCGCUGACCCUUUAAACCGGGGGUCGUGCACGCCCAAAGUGUCAUCCUCACACAAUCCACCUCACCUUUGUGCAUCACCGCGUGGGUUCCCUCCGAGUCGAUUACAUUGAUCCGGAAAGGGGCUUGCGUUUUCCACAUGAACCCAGUGUAGAAUGUCUUUUUGCUUUUUAUUGCAAUCAAUACAACUUUCAACAACGGAUCUCUUGGCUCUCGCAUCGAUGAAGAACGCAGCGAAAUGCGAUAUGUAAUGUGAAUUGCAGAAUUCAGUGAAUCAUCGAAUCUUUGAAUGCACCUUGCGCCCCUUGGCAUUCUGAGGGGCACACCCGUUUGAGUGUCGUGAAAUCCUCAACCUUCUUUGUUUCUUUGAACUGAGAAGGCUUGGAAUUUGGAGGCUUAUGCUGGCCUCUUUCUUGAAGCCAGCUCCUCUUAAAUGGAUUAGCAGGUUCUGCUUAGCCAGAUCCCUUGACGUGAUAAGCCAUUUCUAUGUCCUGGGUUGGGCUCUGUCUCUUGCUUACAAUUGUCUCUUUUGAGACUACACAAAUACCCCCUUGACCUCAAAUCGGGUGAGACUACCCGCUGAACUUAAGCAUAUCAU